rnacentral:rRNA from 1 species
CAAUAGCGUAUAUUAAAGUUGUUGCAGUUAAAAAGCUCGUAGUUGAAUUUCUGUCAGGAGUGACCGGGCCUUUGGAUGAACUUCCAUUGUUUUUUGCUCUGUUUGUCAUCUCUAGACAUCCUGAAAUAUUUUUUAAAAAUAUUUCUCUUUUACUGUUAGCAAAAUAGAGUGUUCCAAGCAAAGCGUAGCUUUGAAUACAUUAGAAUGGAAUAAUAAGAUAGGACUUUGGUGCUAUUUUGUUGGUUUGCACACCAAGGUAAUGAUUAAUAGGGACAGUUGGGGGUAUUCGUAUUUAAUUGUCAGAGGUGAAAUUCUUGGAUUUAUGAAAGACGAACUACUGCGAAAGCAUUUACCAAGGAUGUUUUCAUUAA